GAUGAACGCUAGCGGCAGGCCUAAUACAUGCAAGUCGGACGGGAUUCAGGAGCUUGCUUCUGAUGAGAGUGGCGCACGGGUGCGUAACACGUAUGUAACCUACCUUUAUCAGGGGGAUAGCCUCUCGAAAGAGAGAUUAAGCCCGCAUAAAAUCACAGCACAGCAUUGUGUAAUGAUCAAAUAUUUAUAGGAUAAAGAUGGGCAUGCGGAACAUUAGCUAGAUGGCGGGGUAACGGCCCACCAUGGCGACGAUGUUUAGGGGAUCGGAGAGGAUGGCCCCCCAGACUGGUACUGAGACACGGACCAGACUGCUACGGGAGGGAGCGGUAAGGAAUAUUGGGCAAUGGGCGGAAACCUGAACCAGCCAUGCCGGGUACAAGAAGACGGGCCUACGGGUUGUAAACUGCUUUUAUACAAGAAUAAACCCAGAUACGUGUAUCUGGCUGAAUGUACUGAAAGAAUAAGGAUCGGCUAACUCCGUG
rnacentral:rRNA from 1 species